ACACUAUGCAGUCUUAUUUAGCAACAGAUUGAUGUAUGAAGGCAUGUUUAAGUCUGAUGUGUCU